GGGGACGUAGCCCAACCAGGUAGAGGCCGACGCCUUAAAAGCGUUGCCAGUGAGGGUUCGAGUCCCUCCGUCCCCA
rnacentral:tRNA from 1 species